rnacentral:rRNA from 1 species
CCUACGGGGUGCAGCAGUGGGGAAUAUUGGACAAUGGGCGAAAGCCUGAUCCAGCCAUGCCGCGUGUGUGAAGAAGGCCUUCGGGUUGUAAAGCACUUUCAGUGGGGAAGAAAGCCUUGGGGCUAAUACCCUCGAGGAAGGACAUCACCCACAGAAGAAGCACCGGCUAACUCCGUGCCAGCAGCCGCGGUAAUACGGAGGGUGCGAGCGUUAAUCGGAAUUACUGGGCGUAAAGCGCGCGUAGGCGGUCUGAUAAGCCGGUUGUGAAAGCCCCGGGCUCAACCUGGGAACGGCAUCCGGAACUGGCAGGCUAGAGUGCAGGAGAGGAAGGUAGAAUUCCCGGUGUAGCGGUGAAAUGCGUAGAGAUCGGGAGGAAUACCAGUGGCGAAGGCGGCCUUCUGGACUGACACUGACGCUGAGGUGCGAAAGCGUGGGUAGCAAACAGGAUUAGAUACCCCAGUAGUC